CAGUCGCCGCGGUAAUACGUAGGGUGCAAGCGUUAAUCGGAAUUACUGGGCGUAAAGCGUGCGCAGGCGGUUGUGUAAGACAGGUGUGAAAUCCCCGGGCUUAACCUGGGAACUGCGCUUGUGACUGCACAGCUAGAGUAUGGCAGAGGGGGGUGGAAUUCCACGUGUAGCAGUGAAAUGCGUAGAGAUGUGGAGGAACACCGAUGGCGAAGGCAGCCCCCUGGGCCAAUACUGACGCUCAUGCACGAAAGCGUGGGGAGCAAACAGGAUUAGAUACCCCUGUAGUCCCUGUCUCUUAUAC
rnacentral:rRNA from 1 species